GGAAUUUUCAAAAUAUUUUAAUUAUUUUGAAAUAUACAAUAAAUUAUUGUUAACUAUACUCACUGUACUGUACUUUAAACCAGUAAAAAUUAUUUCUGCUAUCUAACUAUAACUUUGUACCUUUUAACAAACUUAUUUCUUGAAUAAUCAAACAAGUUUCCUGAGGACUCAGUGGGGCAAAAGGAAAACGUGUCUGCCUACCUCAGGGGCUAGAUACCAGCAAGGCUUUGUAGAGAUCAUACAUAAGCUGUAAGGUGCAAGUGGUACUUGAUAUGCAGUACGGUGCACCCUGGGAAACAACAGCUGAUGACUCAAGUACUUGGGUCAUUGCCACCCAUGUCGGAGACUUGGAUUGAGUUCUGGGCUCCUGGCUGUUGUGGAUGUUUGGGGAGUGAACCAAUGGAUGGGAGCUCUUUCUCUCUCUGCCUCUCUGCCUUUCAAAUAAAACAUGUAUUUAUACAUAAGAUGAAGGUUUAGAGAAGAUAAUAAAAUAAUUUCUGACUCUAAAAAUGUGCUAUGACUUCAAAUGGGUAAUUAUACUGAAAUCUAUCCCUCUGUGUUUUUAGGUUUAUCCUGGACCAAUACCAUUUGCCUUACCCCUUGGGCACGAUAGGACCACCCUUCAGUUCCUGGCAGCCUCCUUUCAGUUUCCUCUAAUCCAGUGGUUCUCAAACACUUGUGUACACCAACUUCUCCUGAGAAACUUUUUUAAGAAACACAUCACUGCACAACUGGAUCCAAGAAUCAAAUUCUCCAACUCUUGAAGGGAAUAAAGAAAUCUGUGUUUUAAAAAGCAUUUCAUUUGAUUUGAGCUCAGAUGACCAAUCUAGCACACUUUCAUACAUCUAACCCAAUCUUUCUUGAAUCUGAGUGGUUAUUCCUGGCAAAGUCUCCACAAGGCAGUGUGAUACCACCUGAGAAGCAAAACAGACCCAGAUACAAAUCAUUUUACUCAAGUCUUGGAGCAGCCUUCAAAGAAAAACAAAUUCCAUACCAGCCAGAAUCUGAAUGCGGGCCAAGAACUGCCAACAUAUUUGGAAGGCCAAACCCCUACAGAAAUACGGGCCCUAACCACCAUCUAGAGACUGUCUAUUGAAAACGAAAUCCUAUUCCAUAUUUGAAUUUCAACACCAAAUUGCCUCGGGAUGAUUACAUGUGAACCACAUUCCAUGCGUCUUGCUCUGUGGUUUGGACAAUGCUCACCCUCCUCUAUGACGAGCAGUUGGCAGUGACAUCCUGCGAAACCGGAACUCUUGACUAUGUCAUGUCUCUCUGGAAGGGUAUGACAGAG
rnacentral:lncRNA from 1 species